AUUGCCUUGGUGUCCUCAGAAGGAGGGGCUGCAAAAAUAAAUAUUCAGCGAAUAAAGAACAUGUUGCUAGAGGAUGAUUCUGUGGAAAUGAGAAGAGAGGUUGCUAUUUGUGCCAUCAUUGUGUUCCUAAAAGAAAAGGAGGAAGACCUCUUCAAAGAGGAUGAUGGGGACAUUACCAACGACCUGAUGAAGAUGUGCCUUGCUAAUGGGGCUGAUCUACUCGCUCAACCUAAGCUAUCCAAGGGAGUUGAGGCAUACUUUUGAGGUAUUUCAAAAGAUAUUCCUUGAGCUGGAUGGUCUGAAAGCUAGCCCAAGGGUAAUGUCUCUAAAAAAUAGGCUGCUGUGCUAAAGAUGUGAAGAAUUAAGCUGCUGUUAUUGAGUUCCUCAGAAAAUGUAUCAAUGAUAUGGCAAGUUUUUUUGCUCAUACAGAAGUCUUGCACUGUUGGCAUGCAAUUUGAUAUGUUUUAAUCCAAUUCUGUAUUUUUUUUUUUGUAUUAUUAUUUUAUUUUUUUAAG